GAUUAUUGAUAGGUUGUGAUAAAGAGAUAAAACCUAAGUUGAGAUUUGUAAUCAGCGAAUCUGGCAAGUAUCUUACCUUUGCAUUUCCUUUAUGCAAUGGACAAGAGUAAGAAGUUUCAGAAUUCUUUUCUAUUCCUGUACAGAUUAUGUACACUUUGAUUAUCAACAUGUUAGCUCAGAUAUAUAUUCUGUUAAGUUGAUUUCUAAAUGGUUAUACAAGUGUCCCCACUUGGAUAAUCAUGGCAUUUAUUCACAUGUUGAUACACCUUUGUCAAUUACCCGUAUAUAUAUAUGUUGAAUUACAUAUUAUUGUUGAGCAAGAUUAAAAACCUUCGGGUUUGGAACCAGGCAUGUAUGAACAUCCCUAUAUGGGAAGAUUUUUGCGCCCAAGACGGACAGAGUGAGCGAUGAAUUUCGUUCAUGUUAUGUAGUAUUGAUCAAUACAGGGUACAACGGGGCUGAUCACCCUCCGUACCCGUAAGCUAAAAUGGUUUGCGGAUGGAUUUCUGCCAAACCUUUUCGAAAAUGAAAAACAAUGUUCAUAGUAUGUUUCUUAAACCCUAUUCAUGGGUAGAGCCAGAGCCAAAUUUAAAUAAUUUGGAAGAGAGUUGUUAUGUGAAUUUUUUAUCAGUACAGAUUACUUCACAACUUUCGAUUCGUUGUAGAAGUGUUAUGUAAAGAGAAUACUUAUAUUCUUUCAGCUUAUAUAUAUAAUUGCUAUUACUUGCUGGGCACUCAAAUGCUCAUCCUUGCUUAAAUUAAAUGUUUUCAGUUACGUAUGAGCAACCUGAAGGUUCAGGCACGCAUAAAGGGAAAGAAAAGC
rnacentral:lncRNA from 1 species